CCUCGCCCUCGCACCCUAUCCCCUCGUCCUCGCGCUCAAUCCACGGCCCUGCCGCCGUCGUCGCCGUAUUCGCACCUGCACCCACGGUCCUGUUGCCGGCCGCCGUCCUCGUGCUCCGCCCGAGAUCCAGCCGCCAUCCUUGAGCCUCGCCCGAGAUCCAGCCGCCGUCCUCUCCGCCUAUGAUCCAGCCGCCGUGUUCGCGCUCAGGGAUCCACCCCCAUCCCCGACCUCUAGCCCCCAACCUCGUCCGUCAUCUCCAUCGCGCUCCCCCAGAGCUCUCCAUCCAUGCUCCCCGCCCCUGCUGCCGCCGGUAGUCGGUAGAGAUCCAUCCACGAGAUCUUCAUCCCAUUGCGCCCCUCACGAAGGCAGCCGUCCGUUGCUGCAGAUCUCCGCACAACACUCGUUUUUCCAAUAGGAGCGGGUGUACAUGAUGGUGAGCUUGCAGACAGUGAGUACGCGGUACUACCUGGCAACAAGGCUGAGGAGACCUUUGGCCUUUACUUUAUGAUUUGAUUUGGGAAGCCGAGUUAUCUAUAUUGAACACAUUUUUUUGAAGGAUGGUUGAUACAUGUCUACACAUUUUGUCAGAGCAAUUUGCGGUGAAAGAAGCAGCCUCAAACUGAUAAGAAGGCAACAUUUAUUUCUAUGAAGUAACGGUUAUUGUUGUAGAUCAAGGAUGAUAAGAAGGCAACUAAUGUACCAGGAGGUACAGAGUAUUUUUAGGUAAUCAGCAACCUAAUACGCAUGGAUGUGAUGACUUUGAAGUGUUAUGGAGCAUUUGGAUGUCUGCGGUAUUUUGGACCAGCCAACUCAAUUGUAAUCAUGAAUCGUGUUACAGACCAUUUGCUGCUUAAGUGUUAUGUAGUAGAGAUCUUGUGCUCAUGGAUGUGACUCAAGUGUUUUGGACCAUUUAGUGUUUGAACUAUAUAUUUUAGACCAGCAAAUAGGGGCCUUUUAUGUGACUUGUGUUUUCUGGAUGGUUGCCAAGAUGGCCAAACUUUGCUUUGUGAAGAUUGACUUGUGUUUGAACCU